rnacentral:rRNA from 1 species
AACGCUAGCUACAGGCUUAACACAUGCAAGUCGAGGGGCAUCAGGAAGAAAGCUUGCUUUCUUUGCUGGCGACCGGCGCACGGGUGAGUAACACGUAUCCAACCUGCCCUUUACUCGGGGAUAGCCUUUCGAAAGAAAGAUUAAUACCCGAUGGCAUAAUGAUUCCGCAUGGUUUCAUUAUUAAAGGAUUCCGGUAAAGGAUGGGGAUGCGUUCCAUUAGGUUGUUGGUGAGGUAACGGCUCACCAAGCCUUCGAUGGAUAGGGGUUCUGAGAGGAAGGUCCCCCACAUUGGAACUGAGACACGGUCCAAACUCCUACGGGAGGCAGCAGUGAGGAAUAUUGGUCAAUGGGCGCUAGCCUGAACCAGCCAAGUAGCGUGAAGGAUGAAGGCUCUAUGGGUCGUAAACUUCUUUUAUAUAAGAAUAAAGUGCAGUAUGUAUACUGUUUUGUAUGUAUUAUAUGAAUAAGGAUCGGCUAACUCCGUGCCAGCAGCCGCGGUAAUACGGAGGAUCCGAGCGUUAUCCGGAUUUAUUGGGUUUAAAGGGAGCGUAGGUGGACUGGUAAGUCAGUUGUGAAAGUUUGCGGCUCAACCGUAAAAUUGCAGUUGAUACUGUCAGUCUUGAGUACAGUAGAGGUGGGCGGAAUUCGUGGUGUAGCGGUGAAAUGCUUAGAUAUCACGAAGAACUCCGAUUGCGAAGGCAGCUCACUGGACUGCAACUGACACUGAUGCUCGAAAGUGUGGGUAUCAAACAGGAUUAGAUACCCUGGUAGUCCACACAGUAAACGAUGAAUACUCGCUGUUUGCGAUAUACAGUAAGCGGCCAAGCGAAAGCAUUAAGUAUUCCACCUGGGGAGUACGCCGGCAACGGUGAAACUCAAAGGAAUUGACGGGGGCCCGCACAAGCGGAGGAACAUGUGGUUUAAUUCGAUGAUACGCGAGGAACCUUACCCGGGCUUAAAUUGCAGUGGAAUGAUGUGGAAACAUGUCAGUGAGCAAUCACCGCUGUGAAGGUGCUGCAUGGUUGUCGUCAGCUCGUGCCGUGAGGUGUCGGCUUAAGUGCCAUAACGAGCGCAACCCUUAUCUUUAGUUACUAACAGGUUAUGCUGAGGACUCUAGAGAGACUGCCGUCGUAAGAUGUGAGGAAGGUGGGGAUGACGUCAAAUCAGCACGGCCCUUACGUCCGGGGCUACACACGUGUUACAAUGGGGGGUACAGAAGGCAGCUAGCGGGUGACCGUAUGCUAAUCCCAAAAGCCUCUCUCAGUUCGGAUCGAAGUCUGCAACCCGACUUCGUGAAGCUGGAUUCGCUAGUAAUCGCGCAUCAGCCACGGCGCGGUGAAUACGUUCCCGGGCCUUGUACACACCGCCCGUCAAGCCAUGGGAGCCGGGGGUACCUGAAGUACGUAACCGCAAGGAUCGUCCUAGGGUAAAACUGGAG